GGAGUUCUGCCCCUGCCAAGGGGUGCUGGCCACGCAGGAGGCUUAACCUGGCCGGCGCGGGAAUGGGGUGCAGAGAGCAAAGAAAUGUGGCUUUGAUCUUAUGGAUGCCUUACUUUUACAUUAUUUGUACAGUUCUUGCAGUGAGCUUUCCGGACCACUGUCUUGUAUGUUUCCUAAGAAAAGCAAAAAGGGAAGAGAUUGAAGAGAAAGUAGAUUUUCAACUACAAACUUUCAUCCAUUUGCUUUCAGCUUAAGCAAAUGUGCGCAAAGUUGUCAUGGAUUUUUGCAGUCAAUAAAAACCAAGCAAGAAGACUGAAUCCCAAGUCAUCUGGUAUAAAUGGAAGCAGUUUCUGUGAUAGUUCCACGCGGUCAGAAGGGUCAUCCUGGCUUAGGAGAGGGGCAGAAGAGGAAAUGCAUGCGUGGAAACAGGAGUGGGCAGGGAGGAUGUGACACUGUCCUCCUCACCAGGCCACGUUCCUGGCACCAACCAUAGUGUUUGUGAGGGUCAAUUUAAUUGUUCUUGUGCUCUCAUAGAGGAAGCUGUGUCUUUCAUCCCCUUGUAAGAGUUUUCACUGAUGAAGGGGGUCUUUUAUCUUCAUAUCUUGGGAACUACUGAAACUGUUUCAAAGAGUCAAAGACACCAAUAACUAACAGAAAUUCUUGUUUUCAGGGGCAGAUAAGAAAAGAAACAAUUUGCUGAAACUCCCUCUGCUUGUAACACAACUGACUGAAAUCAGCCGGAAUCAAUAUGGCCAAAUGCAGUUUGCGCACAGCAAGCUUGCUGUUGUCACAGCCUGAAUUUCUACUGCAUGUUUCAUACGAACUCCCUCCAAAUUUGCACAUGGGACCUACCAGGAAGCAUGAAGAGAGAGCCAUGCAUGCCUGAAGACUUCCCAGAUGUUCCCUUUGCUUCCACCAAUCACCUGCUAAUCCCAGGAUCCAACCCUAAACCUUUUGUAAUAAAAUUACUGCCCUAAAGCCAGUACAAGAAGACAGAUUUGAACUGGACUUCUGUUUCCUCAGAAGUUAACUUGCAAUGUGAAGCUUUCCUUUUCUCAAAAACUUGGUGUCAUAGUGUUGGCUUCUAGUGCAGUGAGCCCCUUUUGCUGGAUAACACUACCUGGUAAUUUGACAUACUAGGUGGUUAGUAACUACUGACUGUCUCCAGGUUACAACACAGUUAUUACCUACUUGGGUGAAAAGAGAAGACAGGAAAUACAUUUUGGAGUUGGCUGGCAACCUGUUUACAAAGCGAUUUACAACAGUUCUUUAUUCUUAAGGGGCUAUUCUAAUAUAAGACCUCAGAGAAACAGUGCAGUGUGACAAAGGAGGAAUUUAUCAAAUGAGACAGAAAAAGCAUCAAGGCAAGCUGUGAAAUGGUGCGGUAGGAACCAAAUAGAGAGCCAAAGGAUCUCUCUGUCACUGCAGGCCCUUAGGGAGACGGGGUCUCACUGUAUCAGCUCAGCUGGAGUACAGUGGUGAGAUCAGAGCUCACCGCAGCCUCCGAACUCCUGGUCUCAAGCAAUCCGGACCUCAGCCUCCCAAGUCGUGGGGACUACAGAGAAUGUACAAGUCCUCUGCCACAACGUGAGGGAGAGAAGUCUGCAGACGGCUGACUGGUGACGACUGAACAAGACGGAAAGGCAAGUCGCUAUGCCCGAAGCCUUUGAAGGGAGCCAGCAGGGUCCAUGGGAGGUUCAGGACACAUAUCUGCAGCCCUGCUUCUGGCCUCACCCUUGGGGAAGCCUUUUGCAGGUGAUCCUGGGCCUCUGCUGGGGAAGGCCCCAAGAGGUGAAGCAUCCUCUGCAGAGGAGAGAGCACAUCCGGAGGUAGAAGACAGACCACUGUCUGGGCUCCGUUUAACUGCUGUGAUUUGGGAUUGUAACUUACCCCCGUAAAGCCUCAGUUUCCCACAUGGAAAAUCAAAUCAAUCAUUGUUAUAACAUUUCACUUUUUUGUUAUGUGAUGUAAUUUACACAGUGCUUUCGUAUACGUUAUCCAAUUUAGCGAAAUAAUACAGAGCAAUGCAUUUUGAAAAGAAUAAAAUGCUUAACAU
rnacentral:antisense_RNA from 1 species